rnacentral:tRNA from 1 species
UGCAUAGUGCAGUGGUUUGAGUGUUGGACUGUGACUCUGGAGACCAGGGUUUGAUUCCCAGCCAUGGAA